UGGGGAAUUUUGGACAAUGGGGGAAACCCUGAUCCAGCCAUCCCGCGUGUGCGAUGAAGGCCUUCGGGUUGUAAAGCACUUUUGGCAGGAAAGAAACGUCAUGGGUUAAUACCCCGUGAAACUGACGGUACCUGCAGAAUAAGCUCCGGCUAACUACGUGCCAGCAGCCGCGGUAAUACGUAGGGUGCAAGCGUUAAUCGGAAUUACUGGGCGUAAAGCGUGCGCAGGCGGUUCGGAAAGAAAGAUGUGAAAUCCCAGAGCUCAACUUUGGAACUGCAUUUUUAACUACCGGGCUAGAGUGUGUCAGAGGGAGGUGGAAUUCCGCGUGUAGCAGUGAAAUGCGUAGAUAUGCGGAGGAACACCGAUGGCGAAGGCAGCCUACUGGGAUAACACUGACGCUCAUGCACGAAAGCGUGGGGAGCAAACAGG
rnacentral:rRNA from 1 species